UUCUUACGGACUCGGUCCGUCCACCAUCUCCUAGGAUACCUAGUUAGGCUGUCGACAUUAUCCAUUUAUCAAUUCACAUACCUUUAUUCUAUUUUUCUCGGUCUCAAUUAUCCAAUCAAACAUAAACAUGUAAACUAGUUUUUCGACCGAUUAGCCGGUAAUUUGGCUCCGAUUUGGCCAUAGACGGAUUCAGCAUCGAAAAACG
rnacentral:lncRNA from 1 species